UACGUAGGUGACCAGCGUUGUCCGGAUUUACUGGGCGUAAAGAGCGCGCAGGCGGUCGUUCAAGUCGAGUGUGAAAGCCCCCGGCUCAACUGGGGAGGGUCACUUGAUACUGAUCGACUCGAAGGCAGGAGAGGGAAGCGGAAUUCCCGGUGUAGUGGUGAAAUGCGUAGAUAUCGGGAGGAACACCAGUGGCGAAAGCGGCUCUCUGGUCCAAAACUGACGAUGAGGGGCGAAAGCGUGGGGAGCGAACGGG
rnacentral:rRNA from 1 species